GACGAACGCUGGCGGCGUGCCUAAUACAUGCAAGUAGAACGCUGAAGGAGGAGCUUGCUUCUCUGGAUGAGUUGCGAACGGGUGAGUAACGCGUAGGUAACCUGCCUGGUAGCGGGGGAUAACUAUUGGAAACGAUAGCUAAUACCGCAUAAGAGUAGAUGUUGCAUGACAUUUGCUUAAAAGGUGCAAUUGCAUCACUACCAGAUGGACCUGAGUUGUAUUAGCUAGUUGGUGGGGUAACGGCUAACCAAGGCGACGCUACAUAGCCGAUCUGAGAGGGUGAUCGGGCACACUGGGACUGAGACACGGCCCAUAAACCUACGGGAGGCAGCAGUAGGGAAUCUUCGGCAAUGGACGGAAGUCUGGACGAGCAACGACGCGUGAGUGAAGGAGGUUUUCGGAUCGUAAAACUCUGUUGUAAGAGAAGAAAGAGUGUGAGGGUAGAAAGUUCACCCUGUGACGGUAUCUUACCAGAAAGAGACGGCUAACUACGUG
rnacentral:rRNA from 1 species